rnacentral:lncRNA from 1 species
AUGAGUUGCCUGUUAGAAGUAGCUCUUUCAGGAAAUGAAGAACAGAAGCCUUUUGAUUACAAAUUGCGGCCUGAAAUUGCUGUCUAUGUAGACUUGGCAUUGGGUUGUUCUAAAGAGCCUGCCCGCAGUCUUUGGAUCAACAUGCAGGAUUAUGCGGUUAGUAAAGAUUGGGACAGUGCAACUUUAAGUAAUGAGUCACUCUUGGACACUGUGUCUAGAUUUGUUCUUGCAGCACUUCUGAAACACACAAAUUUACUUAGUCAAGCAUGUGGAGAAAGCCGAUACCAACCUGGUAAAAGCUUAUCAGAAGUGUACCGUUGUGUAUACAAAGUUCGAAGCCGUUUACUUGCUUGCAAGAACCUUGAACUUAUUCAGACCAGGUCAUCAUCACGAGACAGAUGGGUAAAGUUGGAAAUAAAUUUAGUUUCUAUGUUUUUCUGCCAGUGGUGAGAGAGAUAGCCUCAUAUUGGUUUAUGUGAGAAAAAAAAGUGCCAGUAUGGCAGAUGUUCAGUAAAUGUUGAGAGUUUGUUUUCUAAUGAAAAGGAUGAAAAAGUACAAGGAGUUUGGAGUUUAUUUAACUCCACUUUUACCAAGUAUGAUAGAGCUGCUAAGAAAGUUUGUGGCAUAAAUAAUAAUAGGAAAUAUUCUUUUUUAUGCUGGUCAGGUUACAUUUGAAUUAUCCUGGUUAUCUUGGGGUGCCAGAAAUUAUGAGGGACAUUAACAAAUACCUAAAAUUGGGGAAUGUUCCAAAAAUAAUCUUAUAUAAGAAUUGGAACGUAUCAGAAAUGUUCAGCCUAGAAAAGAAAAGUGAAAAUGAAGGAAGGGGGUUGCACAUGAAAAUAGUCCUUAUUAUUAGAGUGUCCACCCCUGAAAGAAAAGAUUGAAACCAUUUAUUGAGGUAGUCUAGAAGUAAUUCUUAAAACAAAAGUAAGAUGAUUUCUAAAAUGCCUUGUAUUCUCGGUACCAUGAUACUGUAAUUGUAAAUACAAGCCUGGGUACAUGAUCUUCACAAGUGCUUCCUUUGAAACUGGAUAUAUCAGAUGCUGUGUACUUCAUUAUUUAGUUCUUAGAUUAAACAAACCAAGGUGUCUCUACAUUUGUGUUAGAACAGACUUUUGGCUUAUAUUGACUUAAUAUUUUUGUGAAUCUGAC